GAUGAACGCUGGCGGCGUGCUUAACACAUGCAAGUCGAACGGCGAAAGAGUGCUUGCUCUCUGUUACAGUUGCGAACGGGUGGGUAACACGUGAGCAAUCUGCCCCCUACUCUGUGGUAGGCGCUGAAGACGGCAUACAUUACCUGAUACGAGCUGCGACGUCCUCUUCAGCACCUGGAAACAACGUCGGUCAGGGGUAGGCUCGCGGCCUAUCAGCUAUUUGGUGUGGGAACGGCUGACGAAGGCGUCGACGGGUAUCCGGCCUGGGAGGGUGACCGGCCACAAUGGGACUGAGAGACGGACCAGACUCCUACAGGGGGCAGCAGUGGCGAAUAUUGCACAAUGGGCGAGAGCGUGAUGAAGAAACGCCGCGUGAGGGAAGACGGCCUGCGGGUUGUAAACCUCUUUUAGCAGGGAAGAAGCGAAAGUGACGGUACCUGAAGAAAAAGCACCGGCUAACUACGUG
rnacentral:rRNA from 1 species